ensembl:lncRNA
UGUGAUACAGGGUUCUCACCGUUGUACAGGGGUCUCACCGUGAUACAGGGUUCUCCGAGUGUUACAGGGUUCUCACCGUGAUACAGGGUUCUCACUGUGAUACAGGGUUCUCACGUGUGUUACAGGGUUCUCCGUGUUUAACAGGGUUCUCCGAGUGUUACAGGGUUCUCACUGUGAUACAGGGUUCUCCGAGUGUUACAGGUUUCUCACUGUGAUACAGGGUUCUCACUGUGAUACAGGGUUCUCGGAGUGUUACAGGGUUCUCACCGUGUUACAGGGUUCUCGGAGUGUUGCAGGGUUCUCGGAGUGUUACAGGGUUCUCACCGUGUUGCAGGGUUCUCCGUGUUUAACAGGGUUCUGCGAGUGUGUGUG